rnacentral:miRNA from 1 species
CAGAAAUUUCGGACGGAUUUAAAUCCGUCGGAAAUUUCGUCGGAAAUUUCAGACGGAUUUAAAUCCGUCAGAAAUUCCGU